GCCUCUGUGGUGUAGUUGGUCUCAUCACGCGAGUCUCAUAUCUAUGAUAUGACUCCAGAGGUAACUCUUGGGAGCGAUCUCGAGGUCACCAGUUCGAUCCUGGUCGGAGGCA